UGAGGAUAUUGCGCAAUGGGCGAAACCCUGACGCAGCAACGCCGCGUGGAUGAUGAAGUUCUUCGGAAUGUAAAAUCCUUUUGUCAGGGACGAACAUGCUGAUUAUCGGCACUGACGGUACCUGACGAAUAAGCCACGGCUAACUCUGUGCCACCAGCCGCGGUAAU
rnacentral:rRNA from 1 species